GACGAAGGGGGCUAGCGUUGUUCGGAAUUACCGGGCGUAAAGCGCGUGUAGGCGGUUGGCCAAGUUGGGUGUGAAAGCCUUGAGCUCAACUCAAGAAAUGCAUUCAGGACUGGAUGACUAGAGGACCGGAGAGGAUAGUGGAAUUCCCAGUGUAGUGGUGAAAUACGUAGAGAUUGGGAAGAACACCAGUGGCGAAGGCGGCUAUCUGGACGGUUUCUGACGCUAAGACGCGAAAGCGUGGGGAGCAAACAGG
rnacentral:rRNA from 1 species